rnacentral:lncRNA from 1 species
CACACCGCCCACCAAGGCCGCGGGCCCUGCGCGCCCAGGGCAGGCGGGCACAUCCCGCACCCUCUCCGCCCGCCCGCCCCCGGCGCCCUUCGCAUUCCCUUCUUCGGCCCUGGCCCCUAGGACCGGAGCGCCCAGGCCAGCUCAGGGUGUUCCCGUGGGGGUCUCCGGAAACAAUGUAGAGACGGGGUUUCACCGUGUUAGCCAGGAUGGUCUUGAUCUCCUGACCUCGUGAUCUGCCCGCCUCGGUCUCCCAAAGUGCUGGGAUUACAGGUAGAGGACCUUUGGAGAUGUGAAUGAAAACAGCUGUCUGAACAAGUUGUACCCUAACUAGCACAGCUGUGAAUCUGAAGCUUGAAAUGGGGAAGUUGGUCAGCAUGGGUGAAGCUAUGCAGCCCAGGUGAAGGGAUCCUCAAGCAGCAGCCUCUGCCUUUUUGUCUUCUCCUUUUCAUGGAGAUGACAAGAAUCACCCCAGGACUUAUCUUCUGAGGUGCUCAGCUGUGGUCCCAGAGCUGCUUUGGUCACUGCUAUGGCAGGUGGAAGCAGGAUGGGUGAAGUCAU